GUCACAAUCACAACAGAUGUAGAAGAAACAAGGGCAAAUUUAGAAGUGGAUGUCAUGGGAUUUUAAUGGGAGAGAAUCUGACGAGCACGAACCCUAACCUGCAAGCGAGCAAGAGCAUGCAUACAAUGUAAUGCUAUUCGAGCUUGUCUCCUCACAAGCACUCCUCUCGCCACCGCCUGAAGCUUCACAAGACUCCUCAACGCUCUAAACGCUCUCCUUCCCUACAACACGUGCAAUGGUGACCUCUGAAAUAAGCUUGGAUUUUAAUGGCGGCAAUGUGUUCUUUAGUGGUUUCUGGGAUAGACGAGCGAAUGGUGGUGAUACUGCUGGGAGAUCGACUGAGAAGUUUCCUCCUUACGACUCCAAACAAUCUUUUGGAGUUGGCCAUAAUUAAUCUCUCUGCUUUGGUUAGGAGGUUUUUAAGCGGAAACGUGGAGAAGGAAACGUGAAAUGUAAACAAAAGUGAAGGCGGUGGCUUUAAGGGAUGGAGAUGAUGUGCUCUCCAUUUUUGUUUGUUGAUAUGUUAACGAACGAACGUGCUCCCAUGCUCUUCUCUACUUUGUACUUGAUUUUGUUUAUUACUUUUGAAGACAGAAAAGUCGUUGGUCUUUCUA